AUUGAACGCUGGCGGCAGGCCUAACACAUGCAAGUCGGACGAGUGGCGAACGGGUGAGUAACGCAUCGGAACGUACCGAGUAAAGGGGGAUAACUGCCUGAAACGACAGCUAAUACCGCAUACUAUCCGAUCGGCCGCUUUCUGAUUAGCUGGUUGGUGUGGUAAAGGCCCACCAAGGCGACGAUCACUAGCGGGUCUGAGAGGAUGACCCGCCACACUGGGACUGAGACACGGCCCAGACUCCUACGGGAGGCAGCAGUGGGGAAUUUUGGACAAUGGGCGCAAGCCUGAUCCAGCCAUGCCGCGUGUCUGAAGAAGGCCUUCGGGUUGUAAAGGACUUUUGUCAGGGAGGCGGUACCUGAAGAAUAAGCACCGGCUAACUACGUGCCAGCAGCCGCGGUAAUAC
rnacentral:rRNA from 1 species